rnacentral:rRNA from 1 species
GACGAACGCUGGCGGCGCGCCUAACACAUGCAAGUCGAACGGAGUCAAGAGGAGCUUGCUUUUCUUGACUUAGUGGCGAACGGGUGAGUAACGCGUGAGUAACCUGCCCUGGAGUGGGGGACAACAGUUGGAAACGACUGCUAAUACCGCAUAAGCCCACGGAUCCGCAUGGAUCUGCGGGAAAAGGAUUUAUUCGCUUCAGGAUGGACUCGCGUCCAAUUAGCUAGUUGGUGAGGUAACGGCCCACCAAGGCGACGAUUGGUAGCCGGACUGAGAGGUUGAACGGCCACAUUGGGACUGAGACACGGCCCAGACUCCUACGGGAGGGAGCAGUGGGGGAUAUUGCACAAUGGGGGAAACCCUGAUGCAGCGACGCCGCGUGGAGGAAGAAGGUUUUCGGAUUGUAAACUCCUGUCGUUAGGGACGAUAAUGACGGUACCUAACAAGAAAGCACCGGCUAACUACGUG